ensembl:lncRNA
UGAUGACCGUCAUGAUGUUUGUGGUUUCAAUGUAAAUGCAAAAGUUAUGAAAUUAUGUUAGAAAACAGGAAUUUCUAAUCCUUAACAGUAAUGUUUGUUAUUCAAAUGUUGUGGUAAAGGUGUUCUGGAAAAAAAAAACCUGAAUCUGUGCCUUGAAAGGUUUAUCAGUGGAUCUGCCCCUAAAUAAAGUGAUCCUAUUAUGUACAGCAUCAUGGAAGCAGAGAGGAACGUCACUCUAACAGUCUAACAUAGAGCAGUGAACAUUUUUACUGCUGCAGAGAAACUGCUGACAAAUCACAAAACUGUCAGCAAAGCAGAUUUUAUCUUUGUGUUGCAGGUAAAGGGGAUUCCUGCCAAAGUGAUUAAUCCCUGACCCUGUGUUUUCUGACUGACCUUCUGACCUUUGUGUGAUCCAUCUGGGUCUCCCACAACAUGUCCACCAGGACCGGCCCUCUUGAGACAGCUGGG